AUGAAAUGCAAAUGGAGCUUAAAAAUGCAACUUAAUUACCAGGCACAUGAAUCACCACCAGUGUGUCCUUCAGCAAGGCUCUUUUCUCCGGGCUGCUCCAGUGGCAUUGGGAGUCCCUGUAAUAAAAUAGGGUUCUCACGGGUCCUUGAAACUUGGGAUUGCAUCCUCAGUAGUUCGGACUUUGCGAGUUUGACUCGGGAGUGUGAACUCCUGGGAACAGGACAAUGCAAGUCCGGUAAUUCAGCAAAUGGAACAGCAGUGUUCCAUUUUCCUCACUGUAUUUACAAUAAGACGAAAUAUGAUAUCAAACACCACUGCCUCUUUUUGUUUUCAUUUAAACACAUUAAUAGCCACAGAAAUACUUUUAAAACUACAUUUCAUGACACAAUAACAGUAAUAUUUAGAAAAUUAUGCAAAUAAAUGGUGGUUGAAAUACAAUGCUACGUGAACUUAACCAAUCGACAUGUUUAGCUACCAAGUCUCCAAAAGUUCCAGACCUUACUACUACCUUGUGAGUAGGGACUUUUUACCCGGAACUUUAGUUAGAUCCUGGUUCCUGUGGUGGAAACACACCGAGUACAGGCCCAAAGUCCCUAGUUCCUGGGGAAAGUUCCUGCAUGGAAACGGGGCUUAAGAGAGUGUACAUUGUGAGCGAAUACUUUGUAGAGAUCUGCCAGAAGAAGCAGUCAUUUUGAACAGCUGAUUUGAGUCAUGUGAUUACCAAAAUCAAAUGAGCCCGGGCCGAUUUUUGUUUACAAUUCAUGUUUUUAACAAACCAUACCUUUAGCUGAAAAGACCACCUCCUGAGUUGGUCUCGGUUAAAUUCGCUUUUGAGGGGUCUGAGAAUAAUUGGAGUGUCCACAAAUGGGUAAAAAAAUCACGCAAACUGCACUCAGAACCAUGAAAAGGACCAAGUUUGAAAACACCCAAUAGGUCCCCUUUAAUGCAUUAAUACAUGCCUACAUUAAUAUAAUGAAAGUCCACAUAGAUUUAUUACAACAGUAAAUCCAUGGAAAAGCCUUCUUGACACAGUGUUUCUCCUGCUGAAAAUGUCAGUGCUGUUUUUAAACAAUGUGAAAUUUGCAUUCUUUACUAUAUUCAAGCAUUUCUCUUAAAUGUUGUGACAUGAUCGAGAGAGAUCAGCAAGUAACCUCUGCUGUUUGAGCCGAGCGGAUAAAUGGUCUGCUUUUUCUCUCAUUAAUCUUAUAUUGAAUACGCAUUAUCAUUUUAUCAACCAAAAUU
rnacentral:lncRNA from 1 species